rnacentral:rRNA from 1 species
CCUACGGGGGGCAGCAGUGAGGAAUAUUGGUCAAUGGGCGGAAGCCUGAACCAGCCAAGUAGCGUGCAGGAUGACGGCCCUACGGGUUGUAAACUGCUUUUAUACGGGAAUAACGCGCCUUACGUGUAGGGCUUUGCAUGUACUGUAUGAAUAAGGACCGGCUAAUUCCGUGCCAGCAGCCGCGGUAAUACGGAAGGUCCGGGCGUUAUCCGGAUUUAUUGGGUUUAAAGGGAGCGUAGGUGGCUUGUCAAGUCUGCUGUGAAAUGUCCGGGCUCAACCCGGGCCUUGCAGCGGAAACUGGCGGGCUUGAGUCCGCGGAAGGCAGGCGGAAUUCGUGGUGUAGCGGUGAAAUGCUUAGAUAUGACGAAGAACCCCGAUUGCGAAGGCAGCUUGCUGCAGCGGAACUGACGCUGAUGCUCGAAAGCGCGGGUAUCGAACAGGAUUAGAUACCCCUGUAGUC